UAUAAACAAAAUAAAGUACAACUAGGCAGAGUAUACCAAUGUAAAAACUCUGACUAGGAGUACCGAAGAAGGGCUAAGGGGGUAGCAAAACGGGCAUAACCCUAUAUACAAAACAGCAUAGAAUAAACUAUAGUAAGAGGAAAAAAAUUCCCUAAAAGGAAAAAUAAAUCCUCCACUAGAACUACCCCCAAUUGACAAUAUAUGUGUGAUAUAAUCAGAUAAAAAUACAUAUGUAGAAAAUAACAAUAACC